CCUACGGGAGGCAGCAGGGGGGAAUAUUGGGCAAUGGAAGGAAACUCUGACCCAGGAACGCCGCGUGCGGGAUGAAAGGCCUUCGGGUUGUAAACCGUUUCAGCAGGGAAGAAGCGAAAGUGACGGUACCUGCAGAAGAAGCACCGGCUAACUAUGUGCCAGCAGCCGCGGUAAUACAUAGGGUGCAAGCGUUGUCCGGAAUUAUUGGGCGUAAAGAGCUCGUAGGUAGUUCGUCACGUCGGAUGUGAAACCUCUGGGCUUAACCCCAGACCUGCAUUCGAUACGGGCGAGCUUGAGUAUGGUAGGGGAGUCUGGAAUUCCUGGUGUAGCGGUGGAAUGCGCAGAUAUCAGGAGGAACACCAAUGGCGAAGGCAGGACUCUGGGCCAUUACUGACACUGAGGAGCGAAAGCGUGGGGAGCGAACAGGAUUAGAUACCCUGGUAGUCCACGCCGUAAACGGUGGGCACUAGUUGUGGGGACCUUCCACGGUCUCUGCGACGCACUGAACGCAUUAAGUGCCCGCCUGGGGAGUACGAUCGCAAGAUUAAAACUCAAAUGAAUUGACGG
rnacentral:rRNA from 1 species